AACGAACGCUGGCGGCGUGGAUAAGACAUGCAAGUCGAACGUGAUUUUUCCGAGUAGCAAUACCUGGUAAAGUUCAGUGGCGAACGGGUGCGUAACACGUGGGCAAUCUGCCUUAAAGUGGGGGAUAGCUCGGCGAAAGCCGAAUUAAUACCGCAUGUGAUUAGCCAGGACAUCUUGGCGAAAUCAAAGUUGGUGCAAGCUAACGCUUUUUGUAGGAGCCCGCGGCCUAUCAGCUAGUUGGUGAGAUAACGGCUCACCAAGGCUUUGACGGGUAGGCUGGUCUGAGAGGACGACCAGUCACACUGGAACUGAGACACGGCCCAGACACCUACGGGUGGCAGCAGUCGAGAAUUUUUCUUCAAUGGGGCAACCCUGAAGGAGCGACGCCGCGUGGAGGAUGAAGG
rnacentral:rRNA from 1 species